CUUUGCUGGCACAAUCUUCGUGCUGCAAACUAACUUCGUGUAAGACUGAUGUAUUGAUGUAUUGACUGAUUCAAUUAGCAAAGACCAAAAAGAAGAAAUCUUUAAAGAAUUCUGUAUGCUUGGGAACUACAAUAAACAAAAUGCUUAUUUAUUUGGAUUGGUAAGGCCUUAUGAGUGUAAGAGAGGUUAUGCAAACAAGAGAAAAGAUGCCAAAGUCAGUCAAAGGAAGGUUUCAUUCAGAUACUAUGUUUGUGUUACUAAUAUUAGUGAACUUGAAGUCUGCAGAAGUGCAUUUCUAGCAGUCCACGGAAUAUCACUGAAAUGUUUAAGAACUGUUCGGAAAAGUGAAGAAUGUGUUAGAGAAGUUCCUGAUGAAGAAGAGGGUCA
rnacentral:lncRNA from 1 species